rnacentral:lncRNA from 1 species
GCAUGUGUUAGGUGAUAACAAAAGGUUUGCAGCUGGAUUUAGAGUCUAAUUGGGCUUCUGUUCUCUAAAAUUAUUUAAAUAAAAAUCUAUCGAGUUGGUUAUGCGUGAAAUAGUAAAAUAAAUAAAAAACUACACAUUGCACAUAUUAUAAGGUAGUAUACUAAAAUAUACUCAUUAGUGUGAUAAGCUGGUUCCAUUAAGACCAACUAUAUGAAUCUU